rnacentral:rRNA from 1 species
GAUGAACGCUGGCGGCGUGCCUAAUACAUGCAAGUCGAGCGAACAGACGAGGAGCUUGCUCCUCUGACGUUAGCGGCGGACGGGUGAGUAACACGUGGAUAACCUACCUAUAAGACUGGGAUAACUUCGGGAAACCGGAGCUAAUACCGGAUAAUAUAUUGAACCGCAUGGUUCAAUAGUGAAAGACGGUUUUGCUGUCACUUAUAGAUGGAUCCGCGCCGCAUUAGCUAGUUGGUAAGGUAACGGCUUACCAAGGCAACGAUGCGUAGCCGACCUGAGAGGGUGAUCGGCCACACUGGAACUGAGACACGGUCCAGACUCCUACGGGAGGCAGCAGUAGGGAAUCUUCCGCAAUGGGCGAAAGCCUGACGGAGCAACGCCGCGUGAGUGAUUAAGGUCUUCGGAUCGUAAAACUCUGUUAUUAGGGAAGAACAAAUGUGUAAGUAACUAUGCACGUCUUGACGGUACCUAAUCAGAAAGCCACGGCUAACUACGU